rnacentral:rRNA from 1 species
AACGAACGCUGGCGGCAGGCUUAACACAUGCAAGUCGAACGCAUCCUUCGGGGUGAGUGGCAGACGGGCGAGUAACGCGUGGGAACGUGCCCUUCAGUUCGGGAUAACCCAGGGAAACUUGGGCUAAUACCGGAUACGUGCGAGAGCAGAAAGAUUUAUCGCUGAAGGAUCGGCCGGGGUCUGAUUAGCUAGUUGGGGGGGUAAUGGCCCACCAAGGCGACGAUAAGUAGCUGGUCUGAGAGGAUGAUCAGCCAAAUUUGGACUGAGACACGGCCCAAACUCCUACGGGAGGCAGCAGUGGGGAAUAUUGGACAAUGGGCGCAAGCCUGAUCCAGCCAUGCCGCGUGAGUGAUGAAGGCCUCAGGGUUGUAAAGCUCUUUCGUCCGGGACGAUAAUGACGGUACCGGAAGAAGAAGCCCCGGCUAACUUCGUGCCAGCCGCCGCAGUAA